UACGAAGGGGGCUAGCGUUGUUCGGAUUUACUGGGCGUAAAGCGCACGUAGGCGGAUCGUUAAGUCGGGGGUGAAAUCCUGGAGCUCAACUCCAGAACUGCCUUCGAUACUGGCGAUCUUGAGUCCGGAAGAGGCGAGUGGAAUUCCUGGUGUAGCGGUGAAAUGCGCAGAUAUCAGGAGGAACACCAAUGGCGAAGGCAGCUCGCUGGGACGGUACUGACGCUGAGACGCGAAAGCGUGGGGAGCAAACAGG
rnacentral:rRNA from 1 species